ensembl:lncRNA
UUUGAUUACAAAAGAUACCAGGGUGACUAACUUAGACGUAAAUAUCCUCAGUGUAGAUUUCUGAAGUACAUGAUAUCCUACUGCAGGUGACAACAAAGGAAAUAAAUUCCCUUGAAUUCAGGAGGCAUUAAUGUAUCUCUUAGUACUCCUUCAGAACAGAAUCAGAAAUGAUUCUAUACACCGCUAAAUAAUCAUGAUACUGCAGAUUGCAUGUAAUGGUGUUUUCAUGGCAUUAAGGCCAUUAGUUUUCUCUUAAUAUCCAUUCUUCAAAGUGAAAUUCAACAAUAAUAUCAAUGCAUGCUGAUUGUUGGAGACUUCAGGGUGUCUUUCUCAUAAAUUCAAACAUAUCUGUCUCUCAAGCAGAUCUACUGACAUUUCCAGUGAUGGGGAAGAGAGAAUGGCAGGCUUGUUCACCCCUGCAUGUCUGGCUUGCAUCCCUGACUUGACAUCAUUGCUCAUGCCAUACUCCAGCAUAAUCGAGCAGGACAUCUGCUGGCUGAGGACAAUUACAUCAGAACAACACAACAGCAAAAGGUGCCCAAGUAGCUUACCACACGGUUAUGCUGAACUCCAGCAGAGUGACUAUUUUUCUCUAACAACAUUGCUGACGUGGGAUGCCAGCUAACAACAAGGCAACUUUAAGGCCAAAGAGAGUGAAAUAAAACAUUUUUUGCAAAUCUUUGCCUUAGCUUUAAAAAAAAGACAACAAGGAAUGCAGCAAGAGUGAUCAAAGGCAAAAGAGCCUGCCAGGCUUUAUUUGCUCUCUACUCUAUGUCUGUUCAGAACUGACAUUUUUUAUAUUUUUAUUUCUUUUUUUAAAAACAAUAGUUUAGACAAAUGUGUCUAGACUGAUGGUAGAGCAAAUGUGACAUUAAUUAUGGAUUCCUACGCAGUGGCUCCAUGGAUGUGGGCAGUUGCCAGUUCCCAGGGAAACAGAACUUGCCAGGCUGCCAAACUGGAAAUAGCUGCUCAUCUCACCACGAUCACAUCUCGGAGGGCAACUGCUGUCAGGUGCUACAGAAGACACUGCUGGCAUGUUGAAGUGGACAUCAGCAGGCUGUUACCUCUUGUGGUCCUACAAGGAGAGAAACAACUCAGUGCAAGAAAAGCAAGUAAAAAGGAAAAAUUAGAGGGAAUUGCACAGAGACCACCAGCAGGCCUAGUUUCCAGCACUCAUCUUCACUUCCAGCUUCAUCUUUGUGCAGUGUGAGCACGGUGUGAAUCUGCAGCUCUGCUGGACCAAACACUACGCAUUCAUACAUGCGGGGCAACUACUUGAUCCCCCAGCAAGACAUGCAUCCUGCUGAAGUGUGUCACCCGUGGGCUCAGGCAGCUUUUGUUACAGACUGCCGUCACCCCUGGUUUGUACAGCUUCGGGCUGCCAGGGUGUGAGAAGCCAGCUAUCUCCUACAGCACUGCAAUGGCAAACACCAGGAUGGUUAUGGCCAUUCAGUGGGACUGCGACUGAGCCAUGGCUGGGCUGGAGGGAUGGCUGCAGAAAGAUGGCUUCACCUCAGGUGGGUUUGGACACACGAGUGUGCUCUGACCUCGGCCUCGCUGCCUAGAGAGCGUGAAGUGGGUACUGCACAUGGGUGACCGAGCAGAUGCUUAAAAUAAGGAGAAAAUGUCAUCUCCUCCACUGCCUUCCAUGCCCACAGUUAUGUAUGCACAAAUCUGUCAAGGGUAUCAAGAAUUUUAUAAUGAUACUCCCUCAGCCAUGGUUCCAGUUUAAACCGCUGUAAUAAACAAAAUAUACAGAGCA